UAGGGAAUUUUCCGCAAUGGGCGAAAGCCUGACGGAGCAACGCCGCGUGAGGGAUGAAGGUUUUCGGAUCGUAAACCUCUGUCUUUAGGGACGAUAAUGACGGUACCUAAGGAGGAAGCCACGGCUAACUACGUGCCAGCAGCCGCGGUAAUACGUAGGUGGCAAGCGUUGUCCGGAAUUACUGGGCGUAAAGGGCGUGUAGGCGGCCUUUUAAGUCAGACGUGAAAACCCUGGGCUUAACCCAGGAACUGCGUUUGAAACUGGAGGGCUUGAGGACCGGAGAGGGUAGUGGAAUUCCCAGUGUAGCGGUGAAAUGCGUAGAUAUUGGGAGGAACACCAGUGGCGAAGGCGACUGCCUGGACGGCACCUGACGCUGAGGCGCGAAAGCUAGGGGAGCAAACG
rnacentral:rRNA from 1 species